rnacentral:rRNA from 1 species
UACGUAGGGUGCAAGCGUUAAUCGGAAUUACUGGGCGUAAAGCGUGCGCAGGCGGUUCUAUAAGACAGAUGUGAAAUCCCCGGGCUCAACCUGGGAACUGCAUUUGUGACUGUAGAGCUGGAGUACGGCAGAGGGGGAUGGAAUUCCGCGUGUAGCAGUGAAAUGCGUAGAUAUGCGGAGGAACACCGAUGGCGAAGGCAGCUCGCUGGGACGGUACUGACGCUGAGACGCGAAAGCGUGGGGAGCAAACAGG